UACAGAGGCCCCAAGCGUUGUUCGGAUUCACUGGGCGUAAAGGGUGCGUAGGUGGCUUGGAAAGUUUGAUGUGAAAGCUCAGGGCUUAACCCUGAAAUGGCAUUGAAUACUAUCGAGCUGGAGGUUUGGAGGGGGGACUGGAAUUCUCGGUGUAGCAGUGAAAUGCGUAGAUAUCGAGAGGAACACCAGUGGCGAAGGCGAGUCCCUGGACAACACCUGACACUGAGGCACGAAAGCCGGGGGAGCAAACAGG
rnacentral:rRNA from 1 species